rnacentral:rRNA from 1 species
GACGAACGCUGGCGGCGUGCUUAACACAUGCAAGUCGAACGAAGAGCGAUGGAAGCUUGCUUCUAUCAAUCUUAGUGGCGAACGGGUGAGUAACGCGUAAUCAACCUGCCCUUCAGAGGGGGACAACAGUUGGAAACGACUGCUAAUACCGCAUACGAUCUAAUCUCGGCAUCGAGGAAAGAUGAAAGGUGGCCUCUAUGUAUAAGCUAUCACUGAAGGAGGGGAUUGCGUCUGAUUAGCUAGUUGGAGGGGUAACGGCCCACCAAGGCGAUGAUCAGUAGCCGGUCUGAGAGGAUGAACGGCCACAUUGGGACUGAGACACGGCCCAGACUCCUACGGGAGGCAGCAGUGGGGAAUCUUCCGCAAUGGACGAAAGUCUGACGGAGCAACGCCGCGUGAGUGAUGACGGCCUUCGGGUUGUAAGGCUCUGUUAAUCGGGACGAAAGGCCUUCUUGCGAACAGUUAGAA